rnacentral:lncRNA from 1 species
UGUGGUCGUUUCUUGCACUGCUUUGGAUUGGGUUAUCGGCUUGGGAAUCUGUUUUUGGGGCUGUGGGUGUUGAGUCCAGUGGUGUUUGCUCUCUAAUUGAGUUUAGUUUUGUUUCUGGCUUAUUCCUUUGAAUUUGUGUGAGCCUUGUAUUUCUUGCUGCUGCUUUGCUACUACCAUCGUUUAUAUCUUUAUAUUUUCUUAUACUUUCGUGUAGUUGUGGCUAUGGGCGGUAAUGGUUGGAUAGGGUCAUGUCCGAGGGGGUUGGGGCGUGGGG